AUAUACAGCCAUGCCACCCUGAACAAGCCCAAUCCCGUCUGAUCUCAGAAGCUAAGCAGGGUCAUGCCUGGUUAGUACUUGGAUGGAGACCACCUAGGAAGAUCAGGUGCUGUAGGUG
rnacentral:rRNA from 1 species